rnacentral:lncRNA from 1 species
AGUACAUUUAUGAGUGAGGACUGAGGAGUCCAACCCCCGCCCCCCAGAACCGUGUGGUCCCUGCAGUACCCUGUUCCAUCCCUGAUGUCAAUCCUGGGAGACUCCCAGUAGGUUUGUCGGGAUCUGCACUGCCCUCCUCUUUUCUGACUCUUGCGAACUCCAAGGUGACCCGUGAUUAAGGGAAGUGGACCUCAGGGGGAGGGGGCGCCGGCAAUUCCAAGAGUCAAACUGAUCCUGUGGGAUGACUGAAUUGCCCGCCAAACAGAAGAGAAUGGGUCUCCACUUCUUCUGAGCCCGUUUUCAGCUCUCGGAAGCCCUAUGCAGGGUCCUUGGAUGUAGUUGCCGACUUCAACCUUGGGAAUCUGAAGACGAGGCUUCAACUGCAGUGAUUGCACUCAGGUCAGCAAAGGGACGAGACCCAGACUCUGCCAGUUGUCAGAGGGAGGAUCCUGAAGAAACUGCAGACACCUGCCUUUUCCAUCUGCCUCAUGAGGCCCCAGGAGUAGCUGUGACGACACUGAGCAGAACCGAGGGGUCCUCACUGCAGAGAAAGGGUGGCCCACGGAAACCUGCCCUGCUCCUUGCUCCAGCCUGGGAGACCUCAGGCUGACAAGAACAGCAGCCUGUGACACCUGGGAGCUCCCCUAAAGAGGAGACCUGGUCCCAUUGUCCUGCUGGC